GGCGUGCCUAAUACAUGCAAGUCGAGCGAACAGACGAGGAGCUUGCUCCUCUGACGUUAGCGGCGGACGGGGGAGUAACACGUGGAUAACCUACCUAUAAGACUGGGAUAACUUCGGGAAACCGGAGCUAAUACCGGAUAAUAUAUUGAACCGCAUGGUUCAAUAGUGAAAGACGGUUUUGCUGUCACUUAUAGAUGGAUCCGCGCCGCAUUAGCUAGUUGGUAAGGUAACGGCUUACCAAGGCAACGAUGCGUAGCCGACCUGAGAGGGUGAUCGGCCACACUGGAACUGAGACACGGUCCAGACUCCUACGGGAGGCAGCAGUAGGGAAUCUUCCG
rnacentral:rRNA from 1 species